CAUAUUUGUACCUUGAGACAAUCCGGUCUCGGAGGUCUACAGACAAUUCCUUUGAGUUCAUGCUUGGUUUGUGCUCUGGCAUGGACUGUCAACUGUGAAACCUUAUAUCUAGACAGGUGUGUGUCUUUCCAAAUCAUGUCCAAUAAACUGAAUUUCCCCAGGGGGCAGUAACAAA